rnacentral:rRNA from 1 species
AAUAUUGCACAAUGGGGGAAACCCUGAUGCAGCGACGCCGCGUGAGUGAAGAAGUAUUUCGGUAUGUAAAGCUCUAUCAGCAGGGAAGAAGGGGGCGGGCUUGCCCGCCCGGACGGUACCUGACCAAGAAGCCCCGGCUAACUACGUUCCAGCAGCCGCGGUAAUACGUAGGGGGCAAGCGUUAUCCGGAUUUACUGGGUGUAAAGGGAGCGUAGACGGUUGUGCAAGUCUGGAGUGAAAGGCGGGGGCCCAACCCCCGGACUGCUCUGGAAACUGUGUAACUGGAGUGCAGGAGAGGCAGGCGGAAUUCCUGGUGUAGCGGUGAAAUGCGUAGAUAUCAGGAGGAACACCGGUGGCGAAGGCGGCCUGCUGGACUGUAACUGACGUUGAGGCUCGAAAGCGUGGGGAGCAAA